rnacentral:rRNA from 1 species
UUGGAGGGCAAGUCUGGUGCCAGCAGCCGCGGUAAUUCCAGCUCCAAUAGCGUAUAUUAAAGUUGUUGCAGUUAAAAAGCUCGUAGUUGAAUUUCGGGAUCGACGGGUCGGUCGCGCCUCUGGUGUGUACUGGCCCUGUCGGUUUCUCCCUUCUGACGAACCACGAUGUCAUUAAUUUGGUGUCGUGGGAAAUCAGGACUGUUACUUUGAAAAAAUUAGAGUGUUUAAAGCAGGCAUUCGCUUGAAUACAUUAGCAUGGAAUAAUGAAAUAGGACGUUUGAUCUUAUUUUGUUGGUUUCUAAGAUCGACGUAAUGAUUAAUAGGGAUAGUUGGGGGCAUUAGUAUUCAAUUGUCAGAGGUGAAAUUCUUGGAUUUACUGAAGACUAACUACUGCGAAAGCAUUUGCCAAGGAUGUUUUCAUUAAUCAAGAACGAAAGUUAGGGGAUCGAAGACGAUCAGAUACCGUCGUAGUCUUAACCAUAAACUAUGCCGACUAGGGAUCGGAUGAUGUUAAUUUUUUAAUGACUCAUUCGGCGCCUUACGGGAAACCAAAGUGUUUGGGU